ACCAUUGAAACAAAUAUCAAGAUCAAAAUAUAAAAUAUUUGGUAUUUUAGAAAAACAAUUGCAAUUUAAAUUGAGAUUGUGGAGGAAACUUAAUGCAAACUGAAGAAGAUUUGCUCACUUACUUGCUCACUUCUUCCGAUGUUCAAACUAGAUGUAAAAAUUUCAUUUUAAUAUAAAGUAUAUAGAUGAAAGAUUAUCUUGUUUUAUUUUUAAUAAAUCUUGACGACACGAGAAGAAUUUAUUAAUAGAUGAACGAGCUACACCUCUAGCUUCUAUUCAAACUCUAAAAAUUGAAUAAUGUGCUUCAUGUUUCUAAAAUGGCAGCCGAGCCUAUUUCAGUUCAUGAAUUUUGAUGGAUCUGGUUUUUGUGUGCAGGAAAAGACAAGGCUAGUGUUGUUUGAAGGAUGUAGCAACCAACAACAAUAUUGGAGGAACAUGUUAGUUCAGAGUCCAAUGUGGAUCCACGUCCUACAGCACCACAAUGAAAUGUGUCACUCAUAACAGUUAUAUUGUAUCUUCGAGCCCUACCAAGCCUACCACCCCCUUCUCUGCACCUGAUACAAGGCAGUUGAAGUCCUCGCCACCCUGCAGAUCUCAAUCUAGCAACUGCACCUGGAACCAAGGUAAAAUCAAGGUAAGCUGAUCAUUUGAUUUCAUGAUUUAGUUUGUUUAUUUAUUACAAUUUUGAAUAGUACCUUAUAAUUAGAGCAUCCAACCUAAAGUAUUAAUUGACAAUGUAUGAAGAGACUCAGAUCAUCAUAUAUCGUUGGACAAAACUUUGCUUUCCCAAUGCGAAAAUUCAGCAACACACCCAAGAGAAGAAGAAAUUGGUUCGAGGAAAUCUUUACCAGGUUAUAUUCAAGAUUGUCCUUGCUGGACUCUAUACAACUCAAUGAACAAUUGCUAACAAUGGCAGAGGUAGUGCAUGGGGCUGGCUUGUCAAAAUAAGUGCUUUAAAUUUUACAGAUCUUCAAGAUAAAUUGUUCAAUUGAUGGGCGAUGGAAAUUGUCAUCACAUUCCACUGCACAUUCAUAAAAGCAUGUCAUGUUAAACAUUUCAAAGCAUAAAAGCAUGUCAUGUUAAACAUUUCAAAGCUUGGAGAUGACGGUUCGAUGGUUGACUUCUCCAUUGGCUUGCGUGGAAAAUAUUGCUACAAAUAUAAUCUUCAAUAUCAUUGUCUUCCACGCAAGUCUUCUUAUGAUAAGUAAGCUUUUUCGUAGGAUUUAAAAGGAAUGAUUUUUUAUUUUAUUUUAUGACAUUUUCUAUUGAAAGGGGCGAUAGCACAUUAAACUUACACACACUACACAGAUGCUAGGACUCAAACCCAGGACCUUGCCUGAGAGAGUAAAUACUCCAAACCACUACACUAGUGGGUCAUUUGCAAAAGGAAUGAUAUUUUUUUUUUUAAGGAAAGAGCAUACCUUAUUUAUGAAAUAAGGAAGCUUUUUUUUUAUUAGUUAGGGAACUUAAAUUUGUUGUUAUCAUAAAAUGUUCAGAAGGCUCGUAGCAUUUGUUUUUUUUUUUUUUUUUGUGUCUCUUGGAAAAUAUUGGAGACUAUUUAUUAAAAGUUAAUUUUUUUUUUUUUAAUGAGAAGAUUAGAGUUUUAAAAGGAAAAAUCAUAGCAUUCCUAGUGAGUGGCCUCGUGGCAACAUUCAUUAAUUGACAUGGCAUGAUACAUCAGUUGUCACAUAAGGUGGUCAUUUAAGGUGGUCAAUAUUGUGUGUCUAAAUAGCAUUACUCGCUAUUAAAAUAGAACAAUCUCUUUGGAAAGAGUCAGAUACUGAAAUUUACCAUUUCAUUAAUUGAAGUACUUUUUUAUUAGUAGGUAAAUUUAAGUUGUUUGAUUGGCCAAUGUGAUCAUUACCUCUACAUUCCUAUUGCCUCAAACAUCAAGCAUGGCAACUGAAGUGUAAAGCAAUUUAGGAGUUAGAACAAUGUGGGCCAAAAAUUUAUGGAUGCUUCACAUAGAGGGCUCAAAGGGUUAAGAAAAUUAGAGAAACGUACUUCUUAAAGUGCCUCCACUUUUGAAGUAGGCAAUAUUACCUCAUUUGAGAGAAUUUGUGUAAAGUUUCCUGUCUAAAAGAUAACAACUAAAUUUAAGUAAUCGCUUAACGUCGUAUAUAAUAUUCUCUAUCUCUUUUCUCACGUGAUCAAAGAAUACGACCAAGGACGGUUUGGUGUAAAUGAUAUGAUUCAUACUUCAUAGUGGACAACUUGUCCUUAAACAGAAUAAAGUUUGGGGGAUGGCUUGACAGAACCAAGCAAAAUCCAACCAACAUUAAUGAUGAGUUCUAAAACAGAUAUAAGCUCUUUCAUGGGCUUUUCGAACUUUUAAAACGAGAGAAGGCACAACGCUUUAGGUUUCAACAAAAGCCCACAUCUUUGUUAAGUGGGCUGCUGUGAAAAACUUAUCAAGCGAGUUGGUUUGUUUGAAAUCCAC
rnacentral:lncRNA from 1 species